UUACUUACCUGGCAGGGGAGAUACCGUGAUCAAGAAGGCGGUUCACCCAAGGCGAGGCUCAGCCAUUGCACUUCGGCUGUUCUGACCCCUGCGAAUUCCCCAAAUGUGGGAAUCUCGACUGCAUAAUACAUUUUUUUAGGGGCAGUGGUGGCCUAGCGGUUAAGGAAGCGACCCCGA
ensembl:snRNA U1 U1 spliceosomal RNA